UAGGUGAAGUCAAUGAUCCCAUGCUGCCAAGAAAAGCCUCUAGCGAGCUUCGAGCGGCCCGUACCCCAAACCGACACAGGUGGUCAGGUAGAGAAUACCGAGGCGAUCGGGCGAACUGUGGUUAAGGAACUCGGCAAAUUACCCCCGUAACUUCGGGAGAAGGGGGGCCACAGACUGUCAUACCCCACGCGGGUGGCAGCGGUAGGUGGCCGCAGAGACCAGGGGGAAGCGACUGUUUACUAAAAACACAGGUCCGUGCGAAGUCGUAAGACGAUGUAUACGGACUGACGCCUGCCCGGUGCUGGAACGUUAAGGGGACCGGUUAGUCCGCAAGGGCGAAGCUGAGAACUUAAGCGCCAGUAAACGGCGGUGGUAACUAUAACCAUCCUAAGGUAGCGAAAUUCCUUGUCGGGUAAGUUCCGACCUGCACGAAUGGCGUAACGACUUCCCUACUGUCUCAACCACAGGCCCGGCGAAAUUGCACUACGAGUAAAGAUGCUCGUUACGCGCGGAAGGACGGAAAGACCCCGGGACCUUCACUAUAGCUUGACAUUGGUAUCCGAAUUUAAUUGUGUAGGAUAGGUGGGAGGCUUUGAUCCGCGGACGCCAGUCCGUCGGGGAGCCAACGUUGAAAUACCACUCUGUUGAAUUUGGGUAUCUAACUUCGGACCGUGAUCCGGUUCAGGGACAGUGUCUGGUGGGUAGUUUAACUGGGGCGGUUGCCUCCUAAAAUGUAACGGAGGCGCCCAAAGGUUCCCUCAGCCUGGUUGGCAAUCAGGUGUUGAGUGCAAGUGCACAAGGGAGCUUGACUGUGAGACUGACAGGUCGAGCAGGGACGAAAGUCGGGACUAGUGAUCCGGCACCUGCGAGUGGAAGCGGUGUCGCUCAACGGAUAAAAGGUACCCCGGGGAUAACAGGCUGAUCUUCCCCAAGAGUCCAUAUCGACGGGAUGGUUUGGCACCUCGAUGUCGGCUCGUCGCAUCCUGGGGCUGGAGUAGGUCCCAAGGGUUGGGCUGUUCGCCCAUUAAAGCGGCACGCGAGCUGGGUUUAGAACGUCGUGAGACAGUUCGGUCCCUAUCCUCCGCGCGCGUAGGAGACUUGAGAAGAGCUGUCCCUAGUACGAGAGGACCGGGACGGACGAACCUCUGGUGUGCCAGUUGUCAUGCCAAUGGCACGGCUGGUUAGCUACGUUCGGAAGGGAUAACCGCUGAAAGCAUCUAAGCGGGAAGCUCGCUUCAAGAUGAGGUCUCCCACCCCUUUGAGGGUUAAGGCCCCCAGCUAGACCACUGGGUUGAUAGGCCAGAAGUGUAAGCCUGGUAACAGGUUCAGCCGACUGGUACUAAUAGGCCGAGGACUUGA
rnacentral:rRNA from 1 species